rfam:Ornithorhynchus anatinus chromosome X2, whole genome shotgun sequence.
CCCCUCUCAGUGUCUCACCUGGAGAGUUUCCAGUACUCUACCAGUCUCGGCUACGGGAGGAAAAGUCAAGCAGAGGCCUACGCAUUCCAUUCCUAGCUUGGGCAGUGGCUAGCAAGUGGAAGGUCAUCUGCUACAAGU